AGCAAGGCAAUGAGAAAGAGGAGUAAGGUCUUAGCUGCGGCAUAGAGAGAAAACGGUUGGUGUAAGUUUUCAUGCAGCGGGCGUGAAGGUCGCUUUUGAGCUUCCGGGCUGAAGGCAGUAGGUUUGGACGUUCGCCGCGUUAAGGCUUUGAGCUGACCGGUCAGAUUGACAGGUCAGGAACAUUGGUGGUACCACGGAAGUAUGCGCUUUCGUCCUUUGG
rnacentral:ncRNA from 1 species